rnacentral:piRNA from 1 species
UUCCUCAUCAAGUAGGUUGCCAGUUUCCACU